rnacentral:rRNA from 1 species
UACGAAGGGGGCUAGCGUUGCUCGGAAUCACUGGGCGUAAAGCGCACGUAGGCGGCUUUUUAAGUCAGAGGUGAAAUCCUGGAGCUCAACUCCAGAACUGCCUUUGAUACUGGAGAGCUUGAGUCCGGGAGAGGUGAGUGGAACUGCGAGUGUAGAGGUGAAAUUCGUAGAUAUUCGCAAGAACACCAGUGGCGAAGGCGGCUCACUGGCCCGGUACUGACGCUGAGGUGCGAAAGCGUGGGGAGCAACAGGG